UGGGUAUCAACCAGCCUCUUCUACCAAAGGAGAAAGCAGCCUGCCCCAGUGCUUCGAGCUGUUGCCAAGGCGACUUCUGCCUCCAUCCAUUCCCAGAGUUUCGGGUUGACUUUGAAGUUCAUUCUUUCAAGGACAGAAGGGAAUUCCUAAGAGUUCACUGACAGUAAAGUUCAUGACAAAGAAUUUCGUCUGCAUAGCAUUGCUGUGCAUUUCUGAAUAGACCCAAGUAAGACCCUUUGUAAAAGUUCAUACAUGCAUAUGAGACAACAUUCAAAACGACGAAGAGAAGACAGUGAAAAGUGAGCCUCUCCUUCACUUCUGAUUCGUAGUCACUGAACUCCCUCCUUCAGAGGCGAGUAGAAUUAGGUGAUUCUUCUGUAACCUUCCGUAGGUGUACAAUAUAGUGAUUCAACAAUUCUAUACAUGACUCAGUGCUCAUCACG